GCUAGCGGCAGCUUAACACAUGCAAGUCGAACGGUAACUUUUGGUGCUUGCACCGAAAGACGAGUGGCGGACGGGUGCGUAACGCGUAUGCAAUCUACCUUUUACUAGGGUAUAGCCCAGAGAAAUUUGGAUUAAUCCCCUAUAAUAUCAAAAUUCCGCAUGGUUUUUUGAUUAAAGCUUCGGUGGUAAAAGAUGAGCAUGCGUCCUAUUAGUUUGUAGGUGAGGUAACGGCUCACCUAGACUACGAUAGGUAGGGGCCCUGAGAGGGGGAUCCCCCACACUGGUACUGAGACACGGACCAGACUCCUACGGGAGGCAGCAGUGAGGAAUAUUGGACAAUGGACGAAAGUCUGAUCCAGCUAUGCCGCGUGCAGGAUGACAGCCCUACGGGUUGUAAACUGCUUUUAUACAGGAAGAAAAACUCCGACGUGUCGGGGCUUGACGGUACUGUAAGAAUAAGGAUCGGCUAACUCCGUGCCAGCAGCCGCGGUAAUACGGAGGAUCCAAGCGUUAUCCGGAAUUAUUGGGUUUAAAGGGUCCGCAGGCUGUUUUUUAAGUCAGAGGUGAAAUCCUGCAGCUCAACUGUAGAAUUGCCUUUGAAACUGAAAGACUUGAGUUAUUGUGAAGUGGUUAGAAUGUGUGGUGUAGCGGUGAAAUGCAUAGAUAUCACACAGAAUACCAAUUGCGAAGGCAGAUCACUAACAAUUAACUGACGCUCAGGGACGAAAGCGUGGGUAGCGAACAGGAUUAGAUACCCUGGUAGUCCACGCCGUAAACGAUGGAUACUAGCUGUAUGUCUACUUCAGGUAGAUGUGUGGCCAAGCGAAAGUGAUAAGUAUCCCACCUGGGGAGUACGAUCGCAAGAUUGAACCAAUGAUAG
rnacentral:rRNA from 1 species